UACGUAGGGGGCAAGCGUUGUCCGGAUUUAUUGGGCGUAAAGAGCUCGUAGGCGGUUUGGUAAGUCAGGUGUGAAAUCUCCACGCUCAACGUGGAGGGGCCACCUGAUACUGCCAUGACUGGAGUCCGGUAGAGGAGUGUGGAAUUCCCGGUGUAGCGGUGAAAUGCGUAGAGAUCUGGAAGAACACCAAAGGCGAAGGCAGCAUCCUGGGAAGUAACUGACGCUCAUGUGCGAAAGCUAGGGGAGCGAACGGG
rnacentral:rRNA from 1 species